AUCAGAUGCUAAACAGCAGAGUGACCUUGCUGCUGAAAACCAGGAUUGAUCUGUAGCUGCUUAGUGUUACUUUUUCAUUAUCCAGAGGCACAUGUUCAAGAUCCUGUCUGUCAAAAAAUUGACGCCAAAAUCCCAACACCUGCCUAAACACUGAUGCCAGAAUCCAGUACAAGUCAUCAUCCCGACUCCGGAAAUCCAUCGACCAGGAUCCCAAAGAUGCAGUGAAACACCACUAACAGUAAACUACAGAUGCUGGGCUGUGACUUUAAUGAAACAGGAAUUAGUUUAAAACAUGUUCAAAAUUGCAGAUGAAGCACAAUAGAACUUGGCAUGAAGAAAAGCUCUUCUCACACAGAUUCAGUACAUGUACAAAUGUCACACAUGAAAUUCAUCACUGCAGACUAGCAAUAUAGGUUUGUCGCUCCCAGUUGUUUUAUUAAUGCAAAUUAAGAUGCACAUUUUGAAUGGGAGAGUUUCUUGCUGUGAUUGAGUCUCCCAGA